CGGUGCGGUCGCGCACGGGCGCCGCGACGCAGCACACGUCGGGAUUGGACUCGCAGAUCUCCACCGCGGUCCCGGCCGCGCGCACCCGC
rnacentral:tRNA from 1 species